UACGGAGGUGGCAAGCGUUGUUCGGAAUUACUGGGCGUAAAGGGCGCGUAGGCGGCAAGGCAAGUCAGGUGUGAAAGCCCCGAGCUUAACUCGGGAAUUGCAUCUGAAACUGAUCGGCUUGAAGGUGGGAGAGAGUAGUGGAAUUCCCGGUGUAGUGGUGAAAUGCGUAGAUAUCGGGAGGAACACCAGCGGCGAAGGCGACUACUUGGCCCAUUCUUGACGCUGAGGCGCGAAAGCUAGGGGAGCAAACGGG
rnacentral:rRNA from 1 species